AGUGCCUAUAAGACUGCGUUAAUGGCGUUAAUGUUUCCGUGGAGUUAUCUCUUCCGUUGUUGUUUAUUGAUUGUUAAACAUGGCUUCAUUUGCAAAGGUGGUUGUGUGUGUCCUCAUUGCUUGUGUCUGUAAUGCAUUCGGUUUUCCGAAGAGAGAUGUGAACUUUAAGGCCUCUGCAGUUGACCGCCAAAGUGAUGAUGUGGUUGUCACCACAACACCCGUUCCCCACAACCAGACCACCUCUGCCCAUACUGAAGCUGGUGGUGGUGCAAGUGAAGAUGCUGUGGCUACUACCCCAGCACCUAAUCCACACAACCAGACAACUUCUGUACAAACUGAAGUUACUGAUGGAGCCAGUGAAGAUGCUGUGGACCGCCAAAGUGAUGAUGUGGUUGUCACCACAACACCCGUUCCCCACAACCAGACCACAUCUGCCCCUACUGAAGCUGGUGGUGCAAGUGAAGAUGCUGUGGCUACUACCUCAGCACCUAAUCCACACAACCAGACAACUUCUGCACAAACUGAAGUUACUGAUGGAGCCAGUGAAGAUGCUGUGGACCGCCAAAGUGAUGAUGUGGUUGUCGCCACAACACCUGUUCCCCACAACCAGACCACCUCUGCCCAUACUGAAGCUGGUGAUGGAGCAAGUGAAGAUGCUGUGGCUACCACCCCAACACCAAAUCCCCCAACUACAUCUGACCACACUGCAGCUACCGAUGAUUCAAGUGAGGGUGUUGUGGCUGCCCAAACUGGAACUACUGACUGAAGUCUGAUUCGACUGCUCCUCUGGUCACAAUGACCUGUCUGGACUUUUUGCCUCUACACGUUGACUGCAAUAAAGGACCGAUUUGUUUUUUUUAAUCA
rnacentral:lncRNA from 1 species